rnacentral:tRNA from 1 species
GGGAAUUUGGCUCAGUGGUAGAGUGCUUGCCUUGCAUGCAUGAAGCCCUGGGUUCAAUUCCUC